rnacentral:piRNA from 1 species
UGCCAGGUUCGAAUUAGUUGA